GUGCCAGGCUGGAGAAGGAAUGAGGGGCAGAGAAGACAGGUGGUUUGCAGUCCAGGGGGAGGAAGGAGGAGGCCAGUGCUGCUCCUACUAAUGACGCCUUCUCCCUUGCCUUCUCCCUUCUCUCCUAGUCCAUGACUUGCAGAGCUUUGGCCUUGACAACCCUCCAUGAUGUUCCAGUACUUUGUGAAGGUGGUGCCCACUGUGUACAUGAAGGUGGACGGAGAGGUGAGUCAGGGAGCUCCCUACCAGAGUCUCCUGCGCGGUGCCAAGCACUGGAGUUCCUGCAUUUCGUUCCGUCAGCCUGGGGAGUGAAAGCUGCCUCGUCCUCACAUGGCGAAUAAAAGACUGAGGCACAGAGAGGGUGGGGGAUUUGCCCUCCCAGGCAGAGUGCAGGCCUGGGGCUGUUAGAUUUAAAGCGCCUGCUCUUUCUGCUGCCCUCACCGCUUCUAUCCGUUCCUCCGGUGCCCACCGUCUGCCUGCCUCACUGUUCUCUGUGGUCUGCCUGGGCUGGGGG
rnacentral:lncRNA from 10 species